rnacentral:lncRNA from 1 species
ACCCGCGAACCUGGAAAUGGAGCCUAGGGGCUGAGGUUUUGCGCGCCUGGUUCCAAGGGCCACUCCCCGUGUGCUCUCCUCUUUCCUGCGCCUCAGCCGCUGCCGUCCCCCCACCCCCAAGGGACUUUUGUGAGGCAGAAACGCAUCCUAUACUCGGGGGAUCCUGUUUCCUUUCAAAACGCCUUUCCAGGCUUGCCCGUUCCCGGCUUUCUGGGCGCGGGGACCAGAAUUAGAAGCCACUGGGGCGGGAGCCAGGGCUUUUCUCUGUCAGAUGGUUCUUGCGAGGAACCCCUAAGCGAUACGAAAGGAAACUCUUCUUUCUUCUUUUCCCUAAAGACAUGGCGUGAUUCAAACGUAUCGUGAUUUUUGUCAUCUUUCAGACCACUGCUGUCCAAGAGAAAUAUAACGCCAUCCAACUGUGUAAUUUGGAAGUUUCUCAUAGGCACAUAAGCUUAAAAAUUUUAAUGAUAUACUUUAUUUAAUCCAAUAUAUCCAAAGUAAGAUUUCAACAUGCAAUCAAUAGAAAAACUAAAUGCGAUAUUUUAAUUCUUUUGAAAAUCGUAUGUGUUUCUGAAACCCGGUGUAGUGUUGACUUGCAUAUGUCUCAAUUCGGGCCAUCCCUAUUUCGAGAGGUUAGCGGCCACCUGCGGCCAGUGCUGUCUCAUCAGGGGACACAGGCAGCAUGAUUAUUACUAUUAUUAUUAUUGAGACAGUCUCGCUCUGUCACCCAGGCUGGAGUG